rnacentral:tRNA from 1 species
AUUUUUAGAGGAUAGCAGAACAUCCGUUGGCCUUAGGAGUCACAAAUUUAGGUGCAAGUCCUAAUAAAAAUA